GGAAAAAUAGCCUAAUGGUAAGGCAAUAGCUUGCUAAGUUAUAGAUGUAAUUAACAUCUUUGAAGGUUCGAUUCCUUCUUUUUCCG